rnacentral:rRNA from 2 species
AGCGGCAGACGGGUGAGUAACGCGUGGGAAUCUACCUUAAGCUACGGGAUAACAGAGAGAAAUUUCUGCUAAUACCGUAUGUGGCCUAUGGGCGAAAGAUUUAUCGGCUUAAGAUGAGCCCGCGUUGGAUUAGCUAGUUGGUGGGGUAAAGGCCUACCAAGGCGACGAUCCAUAGCUGGUCUGAGAGGAUGAUCAGCCACACUGGGACUGAGACACGGCCCAGACUCCUACGGGAGGCAGCAGUGGGGAAUAUUGGACAAUGGGCGGAAGCCUGAUCCAGCCAUGCCGCGUGAGUGAAGAAGGCCUUAGGGUUGUAAAGCUCUUUCACCGGUGAAGAUAAUGACGGUAACCGGAGAAGAAGCCCCGGCUAACUUCGUGCCAGCAGCCGCGGUAAUACGAAGGGGGCUAGCGUUGUUCGGAUUUACUGGGCGUAAAGCGCGCGUAGGCGGAUAGAUAAGUCAGAGGUGAAAUCCCGGGGCUCAACCCCGGAAUUGCCUUUGAUACUGUUUAUCUUGAGUGCAGAAGAGGUAAGUGGAAUUCCGAGUGUAGAGGUGAAAUUCGUAGAUAUUCGGAGGAACACCAGUGGCGAAGGCGGCUUACUGGUCUGCAACUGACGCUGANGCGCGAAAGCGUGGGGAGC